rnacentral:rRNA from 1 species
CGAGUUUGAUCAUGGCUCAGGACGAACGCCGGCGGCGUGCCUAAUACAUGCAAGUCGAACGAGAUCCCGGAGCUUGCUCCGGGGGACAGUGGCGAACGGGUGAGUAACACGUGAGAAACCUGCCCUAGAGACCGGGACAACCGUUGGAAACGGCGGCUAAUACCGGAUGCCUUCACACGGUCGCAUGGCCGAGUGAAGAAACGCUCAGGUGCUCUAGGAGGGUCUCGCGGCCUAUCAGCUAGUUGGUGAGGUAAUGGCUCACCAAGGCAUCGACGGGUAGCUGGUCUGAGAGGACGAUCAGCCACACUGGGACUGAGACACGGCCCAGACUCCUACGGGAGGCAGCAGUAGGGAAUCUUGCGCAAUGGGGGCAACCCUGACGCAGCAACGCCGCGUGCGGGAUGACGGCUUUCGGGUUGUAAACCACUUUCAGUGAUGACGAAAAUGACGGUAAUCACAGAAGAAGGUCCGGCCAACUACGUGCCAGCAGCCGCGGUAACACGUAGGGACCGAGCGUUGUCCGGAUUUAUUGGGCGUAAAGAGCUCGUAGGCGGUUCUGUAAGUCGGAUGUGAAAACUCAGGGCUCAACCCUGAGACGCCAUCUGAUACUGCAGUGACUAGAGUCCGGUAGAGGAAGAUGGAAUUCCUGGUGUAGCGGUGGAAUGCGCAGAUAUCAGGAGGAACACCAACGGCGAAGGCAGUCUUCUGGGCCGGUACUGACGCUGAGGAGCGAAAGCAUGGGGA